CCUACGGGGGGCAGCAGUGGGGAAUAUUGCACAAUGGGCGCAAGCCUGAUGCAGCCAUGCCGAGUGUGUGAAGAAGGCCUUCGGGUUGUAAAGCACUUUCAGCGGGGAGGAAGGCGGUGAGGUUAAUAACCUCAUCGAUUGACGUUACCCGCAGAAGAAGCACCGGCUAACUCCGUGCCAGCAGCCGCGGUAAUACGGAGGGUGCAAGCGUUAAUCGGAAUUACUGGGCGUAAAGCGCACGCAGGCGGUCUGUCAAGUCGGAUGUGAAAUCCCCGGGCUCAACCUGGGAACUGCAUUCGAAACUGGCAGGCUAGAGUCUUGUAGAGGGGGGUAGAAUUCCAGGUGUAGCGGUGAAAUGCGUAGAGAUCUGGAGGAAUACCGGUGGCGAAGGCGGCCCCCUGGACAAAGACUGACGCUCAGGUGCGAAAGCGUGGGGAGCAAACAGGAUUAGAUACCCUUGUAGUC
rnacentral:rRNA from 1 species